GGGGAUGUAGCUCAAUGGUAGAGCCAUUGCCUAACAUGUAAAGCCUUGGGUUCAAUCCCUAUCACCA
rnacentral:tRNA from 1 species